rnacentral:rRNA from 1 species
GAAACCUACGGGGCGCAGCAGUGGGGAAUAUUGCACAAUGGGGGAAACCCUGAUGCAGCGACGCCGCGUGAGUGAAGAAGUAUUUCGGUAUGUAAAGCUCUGUCAGCAGGGAAGAAAAUGACGGUACCUGACCAAGAAGCCCCGGCUAACUACGUGCCAGCAGCCGCGGUAAUACGGAGGGUGCGAGCGUUAAUCGGAAUUACUGGGCGUAAAGCGCUCGUAGGCGGUAUGUCAAGUCAAGGGUGAAAUCCCCGCGCUCAACGCG